rnacentral:rRNA from 1 species
AUGUUCUUCUAUCCUGUAAUAAACGACAUGUGCAAAGGAAAGGUAGAGGAGGCACAGGAUAUUUUUGACUUCAUUUUAGGUAUUGGUCAGCGGCCUGAUGUGACUAUGUACAAUUCACUGAUGGAUGGAUAUUGCCUUGUUGGCAAGGUGGAGGAAGCACUGAGAGUACUUGAUGCUAUGAAGUCUGCUGGCCUCCAACCUGAUGCUAUUACGUAUGCUAUACUUCUUAAUGGCUACUGUAAAAUUGGCAAGAUCACCGAUGGAUUGAGUCUUUUCAGGGAAAUGUCACUCAGCGGGGUUAAGCCCACAACUAUUAUGUACAACAUUAUACUUGACGGGCUGUUUUGCUCCGGGAGAACAGUUUCUGCAAAGGAAAAAUUCAAUACGAUGGUUGAAAGUGGCUUACCAGUGGACGUUCGGACAUACAACAUAGUUCUCUGUGGACUUUAUAAAAACAAUUGCAUUGGUGAAGCAAUAGAGUUGUUCAAGAAACUACGUGCUAUGAACAUGAAGAUUGAUGUCACAAUACUCAAUACCAUGAUUUCUUUAAUGUUUAAAAAUAGGAGAAUUGAA